rnacentral:rRNA from 1 species
GGACGAACGCUGGCGGCGUGCUUAACACAUGCAAGUCGAGCGAUGAAGUCUCUUCGGGGACGGAUUAGCGGCGGACGGGUGAGUAACACGUGGGUAACCUGCCUCAUAGAGGGGAAUAGCCUUCCGAAAGGAAGAUUAAUACCGCAUAAGAUUGUAGUUUCGCAUGAAACAGCAAUUAAAGGAGUAAUCCGCUAUGAGAUGGACCCGCGUCGCAUUAGCUAGUUGGUGAGGUAACGGCUCACCAGGGCGACGAUGCGUAGCCGACCUGAGAGGGUGAUCGGCCACAUUGGGACUGAGACACGGCCCAGACUCCUACGGGAGGCAGCAGUGGGGAAUAUUGCACAAUGGGGGAAACCCUGAUGCAGCCAACGCCGCGUGAGUGAUGACGGUCUUCGGAUUGUAAAGCUCUGUCUUCAGGGACGAUAAUGACGGUACCUGAGGAGGAAGCCACGGCUAACUACGUGCCAGCCGCCGC